rnacentral:lncRNA from 1 species
AUGAAGAUGGCGGACUGCUUAACACUCGAAGCACGUAACAUCCACUUACAAUUAUCGUCCGCGCAUACAACGGUUAACAUUUUUUGGCUUGACCUGCUAACCUGAAAUUGAAAUUUCUCUCGCAAAGCAAGUAGACGAAUUUUCGAGUACAACUCUUUCUUGGUAAAAAAUAUUUGCCUUUCGGUAAGAUCCAGCGUAUUCACAGUGGAAAUCCAGUUGCAUGUAUCCGGACUUUUGGAAUGUGAUAAUAGUUCUUCGUCAACGUCAGCAAUAUUAUCAGUAUUUGUACCGUGUAAGGGAUCGUCGAACAUCUCAUCUAAUGGUGCAGUCCCAACAUCGAAAAUUGGAGAAUCCGCUGCAUUAUUGUUUGGGACACUUUGCUGAUGAUUGAGCUCGUCGUCCUGUACGGUAUGGUGAUCUUCCGCUGCGGUGAACAAUUGUUGGCUGUAAUUUGUAUCCCUCUCCAUUUCAACACUUGGCGGGCUGGUUUCCAAAGUCAUAACGUAGAGGGCAGUUUCCUUAUGAACUGAUAUGUACCAAUUUACGUCUUUAUCUUCGAGUAUUUCGACCGACGGUAUAUUCAUGUUCGGAACUUUGAACUUCAAUUCCAUUUUUGUGCGCGGAUCGAGAACACCAAGUUUCUCGUUCAACCGUAACAAUAGCCCCGGUAGUGUAAUACUGCUCGGCACUAAAAUGGAAGUGGUUUUGUCCUCAAUCCACUUCCAUUCGUCAUUGACGUAACAAACUUUCCUCCAUGCAACACGAUGAAUCUCAAAUUAUUGUUCAUACCUGAAAUGUUGGGGGUAUAACGAUAAGAAUUAUACGCAAUCAAAAUGUCGACUAUAUAAUAGCAUGAAAGUGACACGUUCCAAUAUGUAAACCUAUACAAUACUACAACGUCAAAUGAAGGGUGUCAAUAAUUUUCAACUGUCCAAUUCGACA